GAGUGGGGAGGAGAGAGGGACAGAGAGCCUGCUUCUUUAAAGGAGCAAAGCGGGAGAGGAGAGGAGCCACUUACACGAGUGUAAGCGGCUCCUGUCCGGUUGGUUCCUUUAAAGCAAGCAGGCUCUCUGUCUCUCUCUCCUCCCCACUC
rnacentral:miRNA from 1 species